UACGUAGGGUGCAAGCGUUAAUCGGAAUUACUGGGCGUAAAGCGCACGUAGUCGGCUUUGCAAGUCGGGUGUGAAAUCCCGUGGGCUCAACCUGGGAACUGACAUCCGAGACUGCAUUGCUAGAGUAUGGGAGAGGGAAGCGGAAUUUCUGGUGUAGCAGUGAAAUGCGUAGAUAUCAGGAGGAAUACCGAUGGCGAAGGCAGGUCUCUGGGCUAUAACUGACGCUCAUGCACGAAAGCGUGGGGAGCAGACAGG
rnacentral:rRNA from 1 species